UUAGGAAUAUUCGUCAAUGGGGGAAACCCUGAACGAGCAAUGCCGCGUGAGUGAUGACGGUCCUUUGGAUUGUAAAACUCUGUUGUAAGGGAAGAACACUUAGUGUAGGAAAUGACAUUGAGCUGACGGUACCUUACCAGAAAGCCCCGGCUAACUACGUGCCAGCAGCCGCGGUAAUACGUAGGGGGCGAGCGUUAUCCGGAUUUAUUGGGCGUAAAGCGUGUGUAGGCGGUUUAUUAAGUAUAAGAUAAAAGCCCGAAGCUCAACUUCGGUUCGUCUUAUAAACUGGUAGACUUGAGUAUGGUAGAGGCAAAUGGAAUUUCUAGUGUAGCGGUAAAAUGCGUAGAUAUUAGAAGGAACACCAGUGGCGAAGGCGAUUUGCUGGGCCAUUACUGACGCUGAGACACGAAAGCGUGGGGAGCAAAUAGG
rnacentral:rRNA from 1 species